UACGUAGGGUGCAGGCGUUAAUCGGAAUUACUGGGCGUAAAGCGUGCGCAGGCGGUUUGCUAAGACAGGUGUGAAAUCCCCCGGGCUUAACCUGGGAACUGCGCUUGUAACUGGCAAGCUUGAGUGUGGCAGAGGGGGGUGGAAUUCCACGUGUAGCAGUGAAAUGCGUAGAGAUGUGGAGGAACACCGAUGGCGAAGGCAGCCCCCUGGGCUAACACUGACGCCUCAUG
rnacentral:rRNA from 1 species